CAGUAGCCGCGGUAAUACGAAGGGUGCAAGCGUUAAUCGGAAUUACUGGGCGUAAAGCGUGCGUAGGCGGUGAGUUAAGUCUGCUGUGAAAUCCCCGGGCUCAACCUGGGAAUGGCAGUGGACACUGGCUCGCUAGAGUGUGUCAGAGGAUGGUGGAAUUCCCGGUGUAGCGGUGAAAUGCGUAGAGAUCGGGAGGAACAUCAGUGGCGAAGGCGGCCAUCUGGGACAACACUGACGCUGGGGCACGAAAGCGUGGGGAGCAAACAGGAUUAGAUACCCCGGUAGUCCCUGUCUCUUAUAC
rnacentral:rRNA from 1 species